rnacentral:rRNA from 1 species
GUUCCCGUUGAUCCUGCGGGAGGUUGCUGCUAUCGGGAUUCGAUUAAGCCAUGCAAGUCUUUCCGCAAGGAAGGCAAACUGCUGAGUAACACGUCGAUAACUUACCCUAAGGUCCGGGAUACCCUCGGGAAACUGAGGAUAAGACCGGAUCGGGAAGAUGCCCUGGAACGGGCUUUUCCACAAACGCAAGGCCUUAGGAUAGGACGGCGGCGGAUUAGGUAGUUGGUGAGGUAAUGGCUCACCAAGCCAAAGAUCCGUAGGGGCCCUGAAAGGGGGAGCCCCCAGAAGGGCACUGAGAUACUGGCCCUAGCCCUACGGGGUGCAGCAGGCGCGGAACCUUUACAAUGCACGCAAGUGUGAUAAGGGAAUCCCGAGUGCUCAUGCUACGCAUGGGCUUUUGCCAUGGGCGAAUAAGUGGUGGGCAAUACCUGUGCCAGCCGCCGCGGUAACCCAGGAGCCACAAGUGGCAACCGCUUUUAUUGGGCCUAAAGCGUCCGUAGCCGGCUUGGCAAAUCUUCUGUGAAAUUCUUCGGCUUAACCGGAGAGCGUGCAGGAGAAACUGCCUCGCUAGGGACUGGGAGGCGUGAGGGGUAUUUCAGGGGGAGCGGUAAAAUGUUAUAAUCCCUGAAGGACCACCUGUGGCGAAGGCGCCUCACGAGAACAGAUCCGACGGUGAGUGACGAAAGCUAGGGGAGCAAAACGGAUUAGAUACCCGAGUAGUCCUAGCCGUAAACGCUGCAAGCUAGGUGUCGCACAAUCUUCGGGAUUGUGCGGUGUCGUAAUGAAGAUGUUAAGCUUGCCGCCUGGGAAGUAUGGUCGCAAGGCUGAAACUUAAAGGAAUUGGCGGGGGAGCACCACAAGGGGUGCGGCGUGCGGUUUAAUCCAACUCAACGCGGAGAAUCUCACCAGGAGCGACGGCAGGAUGAAGGACAGUCUGAAGGGCUUUCCCAACGAGCCGAGAGGUAGUGCAUGGCCGUCGUCAGCUCGUGCCGUGAGGUGUCUUGUUAAGUCAAGCAACGAGCGAGACCUGUGCCUACAAUUGCUAGCGGGUCCCACGGGAUGACUGUGCACAUUGUAGGAACUGCCCUCGAAAGGGGGAGGAAGGUGCAGGCAACGGUAGGUCUGUAUGCUCCGAAUCUUCUGGGCAACACGCGCGCAACAAUGAUAGGGACAAUGUGAUGCGACUCCGAAAGGAGAAGCUAAUCCUCGAAACCCUAUCCCAGUGCAGAUCGAGGGCUGUAACUCGCCCUCGUGACGUCGGAAUCCCUAGUAAUCGGGUGUUAGCAUCGCCCGGUGAAUAUGUCCCUGCUCCUUGCACACACCGCCCGUCAAACCACCCGAGCAGGGUUUAGAUGAGGUCCCAUUUUCAAUGGGCUCGAAUCUAAGCUCAGCGAGGAGGGUUAAGUCGUCACAAGGUAGCCGUAGGGGAACCUGCGGCUGGAUCACCUCCU